CCACAAGAAUAUAUCAAAAGUACAAAACACGUACUGUUGACUCAGAAAUUCUCCUAAUAGGAAUGUAUCCUACAGAUUCAUUGCUCUACUGUGAGAUGGCACCUGUUUAAGGUAACUUGUUGCAACAUUGUAAAAGCAAGAUUGGUAACAACUCCUUUAGGCUUCUGGAAUGCUCUGCAACCAACAAAACAAGUAUGGAAACAGAGCUAUGUUGGGAGAAUCAAACUAAAUGAAGAACCCAUACUCAAAAAAUCUGGCCUCAAAAGGAUAGAAGAGUCAGGAUUUGAACCUGUGUCUUUCCGACUCUCCUGCAUCACUUUUUGCCUUAAUGUGAUACAGGAGGAUUUCUACACAGAGCCUCAUUGCCAGAUGUUGCCGUCUCCCCUUAAGAACUGGAUCUCUGAAGGCGGGGCGUCUCCUCCCACAAGCUCGAGGCGCACACCCUGGGCCUGGCUCACCUAGGGCCUGGUGGACCCCGAUACCUUGCGCACCUGGGACCUGGCACACCCAGGGCCUGGCGCACCUGGGAUAUGGUCCGUGGCACCUGGGAUAUGGUCCGUGGCUCCACCUGGUGCAAACCCAGGACUUGCGUGUAAAGCAGACGUGCUAACCGCUACACUAUGGAGCCCUCCCCCAAAAUUGGUUUUUAAUCUAAUUUUCCCCAGUAACAAUUUUCCUUCAAUGUCUUUUCACGCUAUUCGAUAUUCUCUCGUGACAUUUUCACUGCUGCAUUGUUUUCUGUUGGGUAAAUGUGCUAUAAUUUAUUUAAUUAA